rnacentral:rRNA from 1 species
UAAUACGGGAAGGUGCCAACGUAAUCGGAAUUACUGGGCGUAAAAGCGCACGCAGACGGUUUGUUAGUCAGAUGUGAAUCCCCCGCGCUUAACGUGGGAACUGCAUUUGAAACUGGCAAGCUAGAGUCUUGUAGAGGGGGGUAGAAUUCCAGGUGUAGCGGUGAAAUGCGUAGAGAUCUGGAGGAAUACCGGUGGCGAAGGCGGCCCCCUGGACAAAAGACUGACGCUCAGGUGCGAAAGCGUGGGGAGCAAACAGGAUUAGAUACCCUGGUAGUCCACGCUGUAAACGAUGUCGACUUGGAGGUUGUGCCCUUGAGGCGUGGCUUCCGGAGCUAACGCGUUAAGUCGACCGCCUGGGGAGUACGGCCGCAAGGUUAAAACUCAAAUGAAUUGACGGGGGCCCGCACAAGCGGUGGAGCAUGUGGUUUAAUUCGAUGCAACGCGAAGAACCUUACCUACUCUUGACAUCCAGAGAAUUCGCUAGAGAUAGCUUAGUGCCUUCGGGAACUCUGAGACAGGUGCUGCAUGGCUGUCGUCAGCUCGUGUUGUGAAAUGUUGGGUUAAGUCCCGCAACGAGCGCAACCCUUAUCCUUUGUUGCCAGCGCGUAAUGGCGGGAACUCAAAGGAGACUGCCGGUGAUAAACCGGAGGAAGGUGGGGAUGACGUCAAGUCAUCAUGGCCCUUACGAGUAGGGCUACACACGUGCUACAAUGGCGUAUACAAAGAGAAGCGAACUCGCGAGAGCAAGCGGACCUCAUAAAGUACGUCGUAGUCCGGAUCGGAGUCUGCAACUCGACUCCGUGAAGUCGGAAUCGCUAGUAAUCGUAGAUCAGAAUGCUACGGUGAAUACGUUCCCGGGCCUUGUACACACCGCCCGUCGACACCAUGGGAGUGGGUUGCAAAAGAAGUAGGUAGCUUAACCUUCGGGAGGGGCGGCUACCACA